rnacentral:tRNA from 1 species
UAUAGGCUGGUGUAUGGGCACAUUAAAUUUUGAAUUUAAUGGGGGUAGUUUAACUCUAUCGCUUAUAA